UACAGGGGGGGCAAGCGUUGUUCGGAAUUACUGGGCGUAAAGGGUUCGUAGGUGGCCAACUAAGUCAGACGUGAAAUCCCUCAGCUUAACUGGGGAACUGCGUCUGAUACUGGAUGGCUUGAGUGUAGGAGAGGAAUGCGGAAUUCCAGGUGUAGCGGUGAAGUGCGUAGAUAUCUGGAGGAACACCGGUGGCGAAGGCGGCAUUCUGGACUACAACUGACACUGAGGAACGAAAGCCAGGGGAGCAAACGGG
rnacentral:rRNA from 1 species